rnacentral:tRNA from 1 species
GUGCGUAUGGGUUAGCGAGGCUAUUAUAGUGCUCGACUGAUAAUCGAGUGGUCCCGUGUUCAAAUCACGGCGGCCUCA